AGGUACGCCUCUUCUUUUCAAGCUUAAACCCAUUUCUUUAUGGUUUUAAAAUGGCUCGUAAGAUUGAAAAAGUUACAAGUAAAUUAGAUGUGAGUGCUGCAAAUAAGAAAUUUCACUUAGAUAAGCUCCCUGAGAAGACAUUUCCUAUGACUGGGGAAAGAGAGAAAACUCACUCUUCUUUACCUGAAAGAGUCUUUGGUAGAGAAGAUGAUAAGAAGA
rnacentral:misc_RNA from 1 species